CUUCAGAAUCCGAAUGAAUCAGAAACAAGCCGAUCCAACCCCGCUAAAUGUACAAUGAGAGGAAACAAGAAAAGGGAGAAUAUCAAAAAUGGUGCUGUUGCUCGCCCUCUGCCCAAUGGUUGGAAGCACGCAUCAAAACCCUCUCUUUCCUCCAAGAAAAGCGAUCCUAGGGUGGACUGUUCUGUCUCCAAACCAUCAGCUCCUAAUAGCACGUUGAAGAACACUGGCCUGUCCCGCCGGUUGUCACCACGAAGCAUAAAGAAGAAGCUGCCCCCCUCCAAAAAUACUCUAGCAAAGGAUUCCCGGUUGUCCCAUCGAGGUCAUUCAAGACCCGGAUCAGUUUCAUCCUCUCAUACAAUCACCUGCACUGAUUGCUCCUCUUUCCAAGACAGGUGUACUUUCCCCCACGAGUUAAUAUCCAUUCCAGACCUAUCACUCAGAGACCCAUUGCAUGAACCACCCACCACCUGUGUCUGUGCAACCACUCUUCGAGCCGUGGCCGGGAGGAAUGCAACACACACACCACCUACUAGAGCUUCAUUGGGAGAGGAAGAGAACAGUGAAGAGGAUGAAAUUAUGACUGAGGAGGAUCAGUUAGGGACAGAAAGAGGUGCGGAGAGGGCGCAGACAGAGAGUGACAGUGAGGACAGUAGCGAUAAUGAGGAGGAAACAGCAACGGACAUGCUACCUCCAAGAGGAACCAACAGCCAUACUGUCCCCAAACCAUCACAGACCAUUAAAAAGAGCCUGAAACAGGAAGACCAAACUCAGCGCUACACGGAGUUGAGGUAUUUGGUGCUGACCACUGACAUGAAAUUGGGAUAUCUUCAAGAGCUGGAGAAAGAGGCCAAGUGGGCAUACAAAAAAGAGAAAGACCAGCUGGAAUUGAAGAAGGAAACCUUCAAAAAAAGUGAGAAAUCAAUGCUGUCAGACAUGAAAAGUAAGACAAAGGAGGCACUGAGAGUGCAAGAGGUAGAAAUUGAAAAGGGUCAGAAAAGGGUUGAAAAGGAACUGAAAUUAGAGGCAGCCAACCUAAAAGCCUGCUUAAAAGGGUACAGAAAGGAUAUGAAAGAGGAAGCAAAAAAGGGAAAACAAAGGCAGAAGGUUCUUAAGAAGCAACGACAAGAGGAAGAGAAACGCAAACUUGCAGAGCAGAAAAGGUUUGAAAAACAGCAGGAGAAAACAUUUCAGAGGCAGCUGGACGAGGAGAGAAAAAAGAGUGAAGCUGAAAUCAUGAGAGCACAUGAGGAAGGGAAAAAGGACGAGAAGGAGAGGGAAAUGAAUGAGAAAAUGCAGAUGGAGGAAAACAUGAAGUUGAAGAGACAGCUUAAAUAUGAUGAAAGGAAACGUAAAAACAACAGGAGAUGGACUAUAAGAAUUGUCAAACGUGAUGAGUUGAUUGACAAAAUAAGCGCUGCACCACGACGUUUUUGCCAAGCCGUGACCAAGCUUUUCAGGCCAAGUUUUGGAAAACAAGUAGAGAAAAGGUUGAAGGAAACACAAAAGGCAGAAUUGCUGAGGUUCCAGCAUGAAAAGGACUACAUGAAGGAGGAUUUCGAGAGAAGGGUAAAGCAGACACUGGAGAUGUAUAAAGUGGAGGAGGAGAGAAAAUGGUGUCUGGAAGACAGGCAGAAAGUGCAUGCUGCCGAGAAGGAGGCAAACGAGUGGAACCGUAAAAUGCGGGCUGGGCUGUCAAAGGUGAGGGGCAGUGCGAGUCGCAUCAAUAUGUUUUGAGAGGAGGCGACAGGACACCAAGAAGGAGCAAGUCAGACAAAAGUGGUUCAAAAGAAGCAGAGAAGUAACCCAAGGGGGAGGAGAGCGCAUCUUCACAGGAACUGCUGUCAUAAAGCUCUUUUAUAUGAAUGGGUUGUAUGAGAAGUGCCAGGGCAUUGUUACCAAGGCUCACACUAAAUGUGUCCUGGCCACACAAACGAGUAUCAUACAACAUAGCAGCCAAGAGAACACCACUGUGGAAGCAGAUCUUUCAGACCCAGCGGGAACUCUCCAAACUAAAAGCUUCUCUCGAAUAUCGGCCAUCCGUCUGCUGUCCCAGCACCUGCCCAAGGAGGACGGGUUCCCCCAAAAGCCAGGGUCCUCCCAAGGUUUCUUUUAGCUUCUGGGAGUUUUUCCUUGCCACUGACGCCUAUGGCUUGCUUCUGGGGGCAUGAGGAGUGUUAAUUUCUAUUUUAUACAUAAUAAAAAAAAAUAAUAAUAAUUAAAAACAUACAAGAACUUUUAACAUUU